rnacentral:rRNA from 2 species
CUCGACUGCGACCCCAGGUC